rnacentral:rRNA from 1 species
AACAGGAUUAGAUACCCUGGUAGUCCACGCCGUAAACGAUGUCGACUAGCCGUUGGGCUCCUUGAGAGCUUUGUGGCGCAGUUAACGCGAUAAGUCGACCGCCUGGGGAGUACGGCCGCAAGGUUAAAACUCAAAUGAAUUGACGGGGGCCCGCACAAGCGGUGGAGCAUGUGGUUUAAUUCGAUGCAACGCGAAGAACCUUACCUACCCUUGACAUCGUGCGAACUUUCCAGAGAUGGAUUGGUGCCUUCGGGAACGCACAGACAGGUGCUGCAUGGCUGUCGUCAGCUCGUGUUGUGAAAUGUUGGGUUAAGUCCCGUAACGAGCGCAACCCUUGUCCUUAUUUGCCAGCGAGUCGUGUCGGGAACUCUAAGGAGACUGCCGGUGACAAACCGGAGGAAGGUGGGGACGACGUCAAGUCAUCAUGGCCCUUACGGGUAGGGCUACACACGUGCUACAAUGGCCGGUACAAAGGGUUGCGAAGCCGCGAGGUGGAGCUAAUCCCGAAAAGCUGGUCUCAGUCCGGAUCGGAGUCUGCAACUCGACUCCGUGAAGUCGGAAUCGCUAGUAAUCGUGAAUCAGAAUGUCACGGUGAAUACGUUCCCGGGCCUUGUACACACCGCCCGUCACACCAUGGGAGUGGACUGCACCAGAAGUGGUUAGCCUAACUUCGGAGGGCGAUCACCACGGUGUGGUUCAUGACUGGGGUGAAGUCGUAACAAGGUAACC